rnacentral:rRNA from 1 species
GACGAAGGGGGCUAGCGUUGUUCGGAAUUACUGGGCGUAAAGCGCGUGUAGGCGGUUGCCCAAGUCGCGUGUGAAAGCCUUGAGCUCAACUCAAGAAAUGCACUCGGUACUGGGUGACUAGAGGACCGGAGAGGAUAGUGGAAUUCCCAGUGUAGUGGUGAAAUACGUAGAGAUUGGGAAGAACACCAGUGGCGAAGGCGGCUAUCUGGACGGUUUCUGACGCUAAGACGCGAAAGCGUGGGGAGCAAACAGG